AGUGGCGGACGGGUGAGUAACGCGUGGGUAACCUGCCUCAUACUGGGGGAUAACAGCCAGAAAUGGCUGCUAAUACCGCAUAAGCGCACAGGAGCGCAUGCUCUGGUGUGAAAAACUCCGGUGGUAUGAGAUGGACCCGCGUUGGAUUAGCUAGUUGGCAGGGCAGCGGCCUACCAAGGCGACGAUCAGUAGCCGGCUUGAGAGAGUGAACGGCCACAUUGGGACUGAGACACGGCCCAAACUCCUACGGGAGGCAGCAGUGGGGAAUAUUGCACAAUGGGGGAAACCCUGAUGCAGCGACGCCGCGUGAGUGAAGAAGUAUCUCGGUAUGUAAAGCUCUAUCAGCAGGGAAGAAAAUGACGGUACCUGACUAAGAAGCCCCGGCUAACUACGUGCCAGCAGCCGCGGUAAUACGUAGGGGGCAAGCGUUAUCCGGAAUUACUGGGUGUAAAGGGUGCGUAGGUGGUAUGGCAAGUCAGAAGUGAAAACCCAGGGCUUAACUCUGGGACUGCUUUUGAAACUGUCAGACUGGAGUGCAGGAGAGGUAAGCGGAAUUCCUAGUGUAGCGGUGAAAUGCGUAGAUAUUAGGAGGAACAUCAGUGGCGAAGGCGGCUUACUGGACUGAAACUGACACUGAGGCUCGAAAGUGUGGGUAGCAAACAGGAUUAGAUACCCUGGUAGUCCACACCGUAAACGAUGAUUACUAGGUGUUGGAGGAUUGACCCCUUCAGUGCCGCAGUUAACACAAUAAGUAAUCCACCUGGGGAGUACGACCGCAAGGUUGAAACUCAAAGGAAUUGACGGGGGCCCGCACAAGCAGUGGAGUAUGUGGUUUAAUUCGACGCAACGCGAAGAACCUUACCAAGUCUUGACAUCCUGCGACGGUGCUGGAAACAGUAUUUUCCUUCGGGACGCAGAGACAGGUGGUGCAUGGUUGUCGUCAGCUCGUGUCGUGAGAUGUUGGGUUAAGUCCCGCAACGAGCGCAACCCUUACUGUCAGUUACUACGCAAGAGGACUCUGGCAGGACUGCCGUUGACAAAACGGAGGAAGGUGGGGAUGACGUCAAAUCAUCAUGCCCUUUAUGACUUGGGCUACACACGUACUACAAUGGCGUUAAACAAAGAGAAGCAAGACCGCGAGGUGGAGCAAAACUCAGAAACAACGUCCCAGUUCGGACUGCAGGCUGCAACUCGCCUGCACGAAGUCGGAAUUGCUAGUAAUCGUGGAUCAGCAUGCCACGGUGAAUACGUUCCCGGGCCUUGCACACACCGCCCGUCA
rnacentral:rRNA from 1 species